AUAAAUAAAGAUUUACUAAAUUAUCAGUUUGUUGAGUAGUCAAUCCCCAAUUCAUUAAAAUAUUGUUUUCUCUCUCUCUCUCCAUAAACAAAUAGUAUUUUUUGAUAUGGCUACUUAGUGUUUGGAAUGAUUGUUUCGGUUGUCUUUGUUUGGAUAUCACAUUCACUGAUUAUAUAGUCAGUAAAGAUAGAGCUCACUUGCUGGGCUUUAU
rnacentral:sRNA from 1 species